rnacentral:rRNA from 1 species
CCUACGGGAGGCAGCAGUGGGGAAUUUUGGACAAUGGGCGCAAGCCUGAUCCAGCAAUGCCGCGUGAGUGAAGAAGGCCUUCGGGUUGUAAAGCUCUUUUGUCAGGGAAGAAACGGUCUACUCUAAUACAGUGGGCUAAUGACGGUACCUGAAGAAUAAGCACCGGCUAACUACGUGCCAGCAGCCGCGGUAAUACGUAGGGUGCAAGCGUUAAUCGGAAUUACUGGGCGUAAAGCGUGCGCAGGCGGUUAUAUAAGUCAGAUGUGAAAUCCCCGGGCUCAACCUGGGAACUGCAUUUGAGACUGUAUGGCUAGAGUGUGUCAGAGGGGGGUAGAAUUCCACGUGUAGCAGUGAAAUGCGUAGAUAUGUGGAGGAAUACCGAUGGCGAAGGCAGCCCCCUGGGAUAACACUGACGCUCAUGCACGAAAGCGUGGGGAGCAAACAGGAUUAGAUACCCUGGUAGUCCACGCCCUAAACGAUGUCUACUAGUUGUCGGGACUUAAUUGUCUUGGUAACGCAGCUAACGCGUGAAGUAGACCGCCUGGGGAGUCGGUCGCAAGNUUAAAAGUCAAAGGAAUUGACGGCUGAGAGNGCGAGGCGACGACGAGGGAGGAGG